rnacentral:rRNA from 1 species
CCUACGGGGGGCAGCAGUGAGGAAUAUUGGUCAAUGGGAGAGAUCCUGAACCAGCCAAGCCGCGUGAGGGAAGACGGCCCUAUGGGUUGUAAACCUCUUUUGUCGGAGAACAAAACCCGGGACGUGUCCCGGACUGCGUGUAUCCGAAGAAAAAGCAUCGGCUAACUCCGUGCCAGCAGCCGCGGUAAUACGGAGGAUGCGAGCGUUAUCCGGAUUUAUUGGGUUUAAAGGGUGCGUAGGCGGUCCGUUAAGUCAGCGGGAAAAUUGCGGGGCUAAACCCCGUCGAGCCGUUGAAACUGGCAGACUUGAGUUGGCGAGAAGUACGCGGAAUGCGCGGUGUAGCGGUGAAAUGCAUAGAUAUCGCGCAGAACUCCGAUUGCGAAGGCAGCGUACCGGCGCCAGACUGACGCUGAGGCACGAAAGCGUGGGGAUCGAACAGGAUUAGAUACCCCAGUAGUC